GAUGGGGUUGGGGAGGGCUGCUUGUGGGUUUCUGCCUUCCAAGCAGGCUGUCGCGAGUUCGAGUCUCGUGUCCCGCUU
rnacentral:tRNA from 1 species